UUUGGGUACAUUUUUGGCAGAUUUGAACUCCCCCUUAAAAUGGAGAUAUAACUGUAGGGCAUAGCAUAUAUUUGUUAUGCUACAUUAAAAGAGUACUAGUGGUUUUGUGUUGAAGUGUUUAAUGUAUAUUGUCGGUCAGUAAGUCAGAGCACUUUGUUCCAGUUAUAGCUCCAGAAGUCAGUCACCAGCAGCAGAUGUCACACAGUUAUAAAAUGGGAAACUUGAAGAAUAAGGUACUAGUGGUUUGGAUACAUGUGUGGGAAAUUUCACCUUUCACUUAAAAUGAAGGUACAGUUACAGUCCUUAAGAGUAUACUGGCAAAUGGUAACUCAAAGCUCUUUGUUUCUGUUACAGCUCCAGAAGUCAGCAGCAGCAGCAGCAGACGUCACACAGCCAUAAUGCGAGAAGCUUGAAGAAUAAUGUGUUAUGGCUCCGAUAGUCUUCCAGCAGCAGCAAAUGUUACACAGUCCUAUAGAGGCAAACUUGAAGUAUAAAGUAAUAGUGUUUUGCAUACAAUGGCAAACUUGACCUUUCGCUUAAAAUGGAGUAUCGGCUUUGAAAUUUGGUCACUGGAUACAACUAUUUUAUCUUUCAUGUUGAUAGCAGCAAUCAUCAGAUUGCAAUCCAGUUAAGUACCUGCGAGGCAUGAGAUGUCAAAAAUACUUGUGGGUUAUUGGUAGCCUGUGUCAAGGCAUGUGGCACCUCAAAGUUUGUAAGUACAGUAGCAUUUUGUUUUCUGCUUUACUUAAAAAUUGGUAGCUGUAGCACCCAUUCUGACAUUCAAUUAUUUUGAAUUUCAAUUUUCUUAGAAUGAUACUGACAUCAGUUUGUUAACACUAAUCCGUAUAUUAUUGUUAAUAUAUGCUGCUAUUUUCCUCAGAUGUUAACUGAAAUUGUUUUAUUGUUAUGAUAACAACACUUCAGCCUUUGCAAACUUGCAGUAUAGGUUACCUGCUGAGAAAUAUUUACUGGAAGAAAUGGUUUCUUGAAUAGGACCGAAAGGAAAACCACUGAAAAUGCCAAACGUGAAUUGGUGAAACAUCUUGUGCUCAAUACUAAAUUUCAUUUGCAAAACACGGAAGUUGUCCUAUCUUUGUGGUGGAACACAACAAAUUCUCAUAAUUUUGCUAGUUUGUAUUCUAGAAAGGGUGCCAGAAAUGGAAGAGUAUAAUUUUUAUUAAAUCGGGCAUUAAAUGUAAGUAGGUUGGAGUACGGAAAGCGUGCAACUGGCCUUCCCCACUGUAGCCUGAUGUGCAGGUGGUUAUAACACUAGUAUCAAACUGCAUGGUACCCACUUACUAAUGUGACCUACGCUUGCAUGAUCUUCUGCAGACAGCAAGAAAUCCGCUACUGCUCUUACUACCUGUCCAACAGUUGUGGAGGAUUUUUUCCCCUUGGUGCUUGACAUGACAUGUUUUGCCCUCUGCCCUUAAAAUCUCAAUUCUUGUUACAUUUUUCAUCCAUUUUCUAUCUCCUGAUGGACCUGUAUUGAUUAAAAAACUAAUCACUGCAGAGGUGAUUGUAGAACUUUUGCUAGUGGCAGUGUGGAGGGGCUCCACUCUUUAAAAAAUAAAAUUACAUUGUGGGACAUGGAAUUAUUAUUAGAUGCUUUCAUGGACAUUUUGUUUACUCAAAAAGUCAGUCAUUAUCUGAGGUAUUUAAAUGUUAACUUCAAAUCUAAAACUGCAUCAAAAGAUAAAUUUCAGUGAGUCUUUAACAAGUUUCAGUAUCUUGCUUCACAUGCUGGACACUCCAACUAUAAAAAACAGUGUUUUGCAGAGAACAGCUAUUCAGAUGUUAACAUCCCAGAAUUUGUGUAAAAGAUAUCCCUUACAUUGUUAGUUUCAUUGUGGUCACACUCUGCAGUGUAGUGUUAUCAGCAUACAUAUAGAAGUUUGAAGAACAUAUUAAAUUAAUUGCUAGACAUGCCUUAAGUGAAUAUGUUUACUACUAAUAUGAGUCAGCUAAGUAGUUGCUGCAAGUUUUUAUGUUGUUUCUAAAGUGUCAUUAGACAAGGAUAUUUCUGCUGUUUGUUUCCUGUUCUUCUGUUUCAGAUAACUACUCAUAUAUGCAGCAACUGCUGAAGCAGCCUCUGGCAGUUUAUUGAAGUUCCGUGAACAAAGUGCUGUGUGGUCUGUUUGUGUAAAGUGGUAAAGAAAAAUGUUAAAGUGUAAUUGCAUAUAUAUUUAAUCAUUAUUUUUGCUAGUUGUAAGAUCUAUUUUCAUGUAAAUCAGAACAUUGUAUAAUAGGUAACAACCGAAUGAGGCAGUGUAGCUAUUAACAGCACUGACCUCAUAUUUGGGAGGAUGGGGUUCGCUCUGUCUGGCCAUCCUGGAUCGCUAAGGCAAAUGCCGGGAUGGUUCCUUCAUCAAGGCCACGGCUGACCACCUGUCCCGCCCUUAGAGAUCCUUUAAACAUUGUGUGUAUACCCAUAUUUUGAAUUAUUGAUGUUUGUUGUAUUAUGUUGAGAUAUUCUUGGAUGAAAUAAAAAAAGUUUAUACAUU